rnacentral:rRNA from 1 species
GUGUCAGCAGCCGCGGUAAUACGUAGGGUGCGAGCGUUAAUCGGAAUUACUGGGCGUAAAGCGUGCGCAGGCGGUAUAUAAGACCGGUGUGAAAUCCCCGGGCCCAACCUGGGACCUGCAUUUGUGACUGUAUAGCUAGAGUACGGUAGAGGGGGAUGGAAUUCCGCGUGUAGCAGUGAAAUGCGUAGAUAUGCGGAGGAACACCGAUGGCGAAGGCAAUCCCCUGGACCUGUACUGACGCUCAUGCACGAAAGCGUGGGGAGCAAACAGGAUUAGAUACCCUGGUAGUCCACGCCCUAAACGAUGUCAACUGGUUGUUGGGUCUUCACUGACUCAGUAACGAAGCUAUCGCGUGAAGUUGACCGCCUGGGGAGUACGGCCGCAAGGUUAAAACUCAAAUGAAUUGGCGG